UUGCUCAGAACUGGAUACCACCUGUGAGCUGAUUAAGGCCAUAGCUUGUUGGCCUAUCCAGAAUGAAUUUGUGAUGAUUAUGGGAAUGUAUGCUGCUCAGAGUUAGUCACGAUUGGAACAACAUAUAAGUCCUGGGAAUAAAUAAAUACAUAAAUAAUAAAACCCAUUACUAAUCCA